rnacentral:rRNA from 1 species
CGCAUCUGUGCAUGCAGCAUAUCAAUAAGCGGAGGAAAAGAAACUAACAAGGAUUCCCCUAGUAACGGCGAGUGAAGCGGGAGGAGCUCAAAUUUGAAAUCUUAAAGGGUUUCCCUUUACGAAUUGUAGUUUAAAGAAGCGUUUUCUGUUGAGGUUUUGGUAAAAGUUCUUUGGAAUAGGACAUCAUAGAGGGUGAGAAUCCCGUAUUUGACCUUUACUUUCAACUUUGUGAUACACUUCCAAAGAGUCGGAUUGUUUGGGAAUGCAGUCCAAAAUGGGUGGUAAAUUUCAUCUAAAGCUAAAUAUUGGCGAGAGACCGAUAGCGAACAAGUACCGUGAGGGAAAGAUGAAAAGAACUUUGAAAAGAGAGUUAAACAGUACGUGAAAUUGUCAAAAGGGAAGCGUUUGACACCAGUGUUGUUUUUCUGAAAAUCAAUUGAAGAACUGUCUAUGCUAAGCUGUUUAGACUUUAUCAGCUAUCUGUUUAGUUUUGAGCUUUUCUUUAAUGCACUUUUCAGUUAACAAGUCAACAUCAAUUUCUUUUGCUGUAAAAAAGCUUGAGGAAGGUGGCUUGAGAUUCGUCUUAAGUGUUUAUAGCCUCUUGCCUAUGCAGUCGGAGAGAUUGAGGUCUGCAGCGUAGAUCCUUCGGGGCUAAAUGCAUUUGUGCUAAGUUAUAACAUUUUAUAGACAACUUGUUGACUAUGAUUUGUCUUGUAGCUUACUCGCUUAUGUUAUUUUACCUACGCUUAGGAUGUUGACAGCAGUAUAGACUGU